rnacentral:rRNA from 1 species
GACGAACGCUGGCGGCGUGCUUAACACAUGCAAGUCGAACGAAGUGGCGAACGGGUGAGUAACGCGUAAUCAACCUGCCCUUCAGAGGGGGACAACAGUUGGAAACGACUGCUAAUACCGCAUACUGAAGAGGGGGAUUGCGUCGGAUUAGCUCGUUGGAGGGGUAACGGCCCACCAAGGCGAUGAUCAGUAGCCGGUGUGAGAGGAUGAACGGCCACAUGGGGACUGAGACACGGCCCAGACUCCGACGGGAGGCAGCAGGGGGGAAUCUUCCGAAAUGGACGAAAGUCUGACGGAGCAACGCCGCGUGAGUGAUGACGGCCUUCGGGUUGUAAAGCUCUGUUAAUCGGGACGCGGUACCGGAAGAGAAAGCCACGGCUAACUACGUGCCAGCAGCCGCGGUAAUUC